GCUCAAGCAGACAAGAGGAGCUUCAUCCACAGAGCCAUUUGAGGAGCCGUCUACUUGAGAAACCCUCCUUGUUGCUAGAGAAGCAUCCUUCCCAUCCGGCAGAGGCAAGGCUGGUGGCUGAUCCUGGAGAGUCACCCCUUGGGGCCGCUAACUAAACCUAAGCACACACUCCCCCACACCAACAUUGCAGCCAGGAGGUGCAGCUGCACAGAAGGACAAUCACUGAGUUUUGCAACCUUCAAAACUGAUUUCAAACCUCUGAAUGGGUCAAUGCUCAUAAGGUGGAUAUCUGAGAACAGCAAUAUGAAGCCAAGAAGUAGUGGGAUAAUCUAACAGAUGAGUAUAUUCAAGUUGUGCUUUCAAUGUCAAGACUAAAAGCAUGAUUUCUGAAGAGAAGGACAUUUCAGCAUUCUUCUUGGAAACAGCUGUUCCUGAGCUGGAGACCUUUGCAGCGCUCUGUGGCUGGAAUGCUGAGGGUUCUGGAGACUGGGCAGGGUCCCUUUGACCUCACCGUAGAGUGGCUAUGCACCCUGGACUCUUACCUCUGAUCUAACUAUUGUCUGCAUCAUGCCUGGUCUUUUCCAAAGAUGCUGUAGAAUUGUAUAUAAGCGUUCAAAACCAGCUCCAUUUUUCUGGUCUAACUGAAUCGGGCUGUUUAACAAGGAAAUGACAUUUACUGGUGCUGCCCCCUUUGUAGUUUAAUUCAUUCCAACUGCCCCAUCUUGUGGAAGAAAGAAAAACAACCAGACUUUUUCCUUUGAGUGUAUACCCCAGAAGAACAAAUUCAGCCCACCUGUCUCUGCUCGCUCUCUAUCUUUGACUCUGAUUGCUUCUCUUUCAUGUAUUACAUUUGAAAUAAAUUAUU